CGCGGCGACGAUCAUCGUGUCAGGACCACUGCCCACGUAUCGACGAGGACACAAAAGGCUGUUUUGCGCUGAUGGAUUACACCCCAGCAGAAUCGGAGCGGAGCUGCUCUCUGACAACAUCUCCAGGACACUUCGCUCCAUGUGACUAGGCAGUUUGUGAAGACAGAUAAUCAAGAGAAGUCAGUUCCAGAUCCACCUUCCACACCAGACCUCUCUCUCACGAGGAUUGCUGUCUACUAGCAUAUUGUGUUCUCUUCAGACUUCGGGGGAUGCAGAUAUUACUCAGGGACAUGUACACUCGAAUAUUGCAAGAAU